UUUUUUUUUUUUCUUUUGGAUUGCAGUGAAAAAUCAGGAAGGUUGUAUGCAGUUAGAUCUUAGACUUCUCUGCAUGUCUGUUCAGGAGAGUAACCAUUAUUAUUGGGUAAACACAGAGAGGAAUCAGCUUUGUGUAAAACACCAGUCACUUUCCACUUUAUUAGGAAGAAGAUACAUGUUUGAAUCUCUGUGUGUAUAUACAUUCAUUUGUGAUGUGAAGAUAAUCCUGAUUAAAAUAGCUAAGAUGUGCCAUCUGCCAAAUGCUUUAUGUAAAUCUUCAUCUCUAACAUGUGAAGUAUGUAAUGUUUUCAGUUUCAUGUAAAAGAGAAACAAGAAAAAAAAAAGAGUGGUAAAUUUUGGGGCAAUGCAUAGCAAGUGUCCAGCUGACCUAAAGACCUCUCCUUUUAACCACAUGUGUGAAGGUGGCAUUUCUGUCACACCGAAGUCUGCAUAUUCCUGCCCAUUUCCCUCUGACUUACCUUACAUGUGAGAUCGUGUAAUUCAAAGAUGUCAAAGAUACCUAAUUGAAAUUGGAGUUCUAAGAAGAAAACACUCAGUGAAGGCCAGGAGACGUGGAAGGGGCUUUCUUCAGGAAUGGAUCUCAUUGGGAAGCUGCUGAUUAAAAUAACGAGCAACGGGUCUAGAGAGGGACUUGCCCUCGGGCUCCAGGUACACUUCUCAGCCCCGGCUGUGCAUUUUUAUCACUUGGUCUACAUAAAGAGAGAAGGGAAGGAAAUACUCUAGAAAAAGUAACGCUGGAGCCUCAGGCCCAGUUACACUGAGUGUUUUGAAUGAUUGUGGCCUGGGUAAUUUUUAAACCUCUCCAACUGAUUCAAAUGCACAACCAGUAUAAGAAACUAUCACUUAAUAUCAAUAUAUUUUUAACCAUGAGCAUAAAGGGACGACAAAAUCUUCCCUGUACUGGACGUUCUAAGGAGGAGGAGAAAUGGGAACCCAGAAAGGAAGAUCAGGAAGUGAGAUGGUUUCCUUUUGCUGGCCCCUGUUACGUCGCAAGCACUGUAUCUUCCAUAAGUUGUAGCCUCAUGCUUCCUUUAAAGACCAUUUUAGCUCAGACAGAAGAGGAACAGAUCUAGUUUAAGGCAGGGUCAGGAUCAUUUGGUAAAAAUCGAAGUUCAAUAUCAGAGAAUUAUUAGAAACAUACAAUAGAUUCCUCUCUACCUGUAGGCAACACUAGGUAAACAUACCUCUGGUGAAUCUUUUUAUAUAUAGAUAUGGAUAUGUAUUUUUACAUAGGCAGAAACAAAUCAUGCAAUUAAAUAAGUUAGUAAAAUGCUAUGUAUGUUAUCCCUUACUAAAAUUUUACAGUGUGCAAUAACUAAAUGUCUUAUUAUUUAAGGUUAAAAACUGUAUUGAAUGAUAAAUUUCCCAAGGCAAUUUGACAAUGAAAUCUUUUUUUUUAAACAUGAGAGUUAACUUAUACUCUAAGGAAUCAGUAUGCUAUGGAAAAAUCUUGCUCCAAGAACACCUAAAUCAUGCAGAAAAUGACACAAAUGCCAAGACAAUAAUUAAUAAUAAGCAUCCUAUUGCAUUUCACUGCAGAUUGUUAAGUAAUGAUCCAACCCUGUCUAGUUUGUGGAUAACAAAAUGAAUUUUAGAUACUUGCAGGAUUUAGUGCAAUGGACUAUAAAAAUUGAUGAUAGAAGGUGAAGUGACACCCAACCAAGAGUUCAAUGGGAUGGUCUUAGGUUAUAAGAGACUGAGAAGCUGGGUUUACAUCUCAGAUAAAAGAUUACAGACCUCGUGAAAUUAAAAAAAAAAAAAACAACUUGCUGUUAUAAUUACUGAUUAUCUUUUCAUUAUUAGUGUAGCCACUGGACCAAAAAAUGUACUUAACAUUUUUUUCCAUUCAGCUUUAACGAACGCUUCCUAUUAUGAACAUUUCCGUUCAUAAGAUAGCAUACUUUUGCUAUGAGUUUCACAGGACUAGAGCCAAAGUCACUGAAUACCAUAUUGCUAAAACUCUUCAGUGAAAAGAAAGUAGUAACGUUAAAACCAUUGCAAAUGAAUAACUGAAAUCUAAUGAGGAACAUGUGAUGUCAAUUCUCAGUUCAAAGUGAAUAAUAAACUCUUAGAACUACUGAAUUUGUUUACAAAUGCUUUCCUAACUUCAGCAACACCUUCCCUGAUGCAAAAGUUCUAAAUUACUUUUCCAGUAUCAUUACAGAAGUAUUUACUUCCUUCUCAGAAAGCCCACUUUGUACCUCAGAAAGCCCUCUGUACCCUUUUCCUGGCUCUUACCAACUUCUGCCUCAUCCUGUAACUGGAAGAAAAGACUACAAACUCCCUGAGGACAGACACUAACUUUUGGUUCUCCCUCCUGCCUAACGCAUUGACUUUUAAAACAACAGUCCUCAGUAUUUUUUUUUAAAUUUAAAUGAAAUGAAGUAAUUGUGGUCUGAGUACAUGAAAAUGUUCUCUAACCAUUGAUAAUGCAUAAAUCACAAAAAGCCCCUAUGUGUGACCUAGCCUUUAAUUUUAUCUUUCCCAAAAUGCAGUCAUCAGCCUGGAUAUAUUUGCACCUGCCUAAGGACAUGCUUGUAUCCAAGGAUCCAGAAGCAGUACAGUUCAUGACUUUACCCAAAAUAAUGUUUCUGUUUGCGAGUAGAUACAGUGAUUUUUUUCAGAAAUUCUGAUGUGUCUGAUGUUUUAUUCUUUCAACAAAAUGUUAACUAUAGAAACUAGAUACUGUGUUACUGUUAGAAGGGAAAGACAACUAGACAGCUGUAUGUGGCAUGCCACACAACAGAACCAGUUUAAAAUUUUUAUCUUAAGUGAAAUCUCAUUAUUUAUUAGUUACAUAGCAGAGCCCUAGCAACACUGCCGAUCCAAGACAGAGUAAAUAUAAAUCAUACUCAUGUUAAUUAAAAAAUAUGAGUAAUACUGCAUAUGAUUCUCUCCUGACUUGAAUUUGCAUUAGUUUGUACAUUAACCGUGUAAAUGGAAAAAUCAGUCAUCAGAUUGAAAUGCACUGGCUUACAUUCUUUUUUGUUUGUUUUGGCUGAACCAUGGCAUGCAGAAGUCCCUGGGUCAGGGAUCAAACCCACGCCACAGCACUGACCCGAGCCACAGCACUGACAAUGCCAGAACCUUAACCAACAGUGCAGCCAGGGAACUCUCUGCACUAGGUUAUUUAUCUUGGGAUUCUGAAGGAAAUGCCUGCAAGCUUGUUUCUUCAUUAAUUUUGAAUUAUAUAUUAUUUAAAAUUUACCUCAAUAUUAAUAUGCUUUUAUUUCCAUGUCACUCUAAGAAUAUUUUUAAUAUGUAUAAUAUUAUUCCAUAUGGAUUUGAGGAUAUCAGGUUUGUAAUUCUAGCCUAGUUUUUGUGUUAUACUAGCUGAAUACCAAUUUUCAUAUUGAAAAGAUAAUAGUGCCUGUUUACAGAAUCUAGUAAUACAUAUAAUACACACAUACAUAUAUUUAUACACAUACACAUGUAUACACACCACUUACAUAUAUACAUUUACAUUACACAGAUACACGUAUGUAACAGGUGGUUUUCCUUCAUGAAUGCUGACAUCACAAACGGAUUCACAAAACGGUGUUAGUGGGGAGACUCCUGCUUAUAAUUUGUUGCCAAACAAAUACAAGUGUUACACUGAGAAAAUUUUGGUAGUAUAAUGGAAUAUGUACUACUAAAAAUUAUUCAGGAAAAAAAAAACGCAGUAAACUGCAACCUAUUACUCUAAUUGUAAACUUCAAUUCUUUCAUUGUUGGAGACUGAUAGGAAGUAGAUUAAUUCCCAUGACCUUAUCAAAUUCUCUAUAUGGGUAUGGUCAUAGAUAUAUGGCACCUUUAAUUUAAUAAUUAAUAACAUAUAACUAAAGAAAACAUCAUAUUUUUGUUUAAGGCAACAGUAGCAAAUACCAAAAGAAACCAAAAGAAAAUAAUGUAUUAAUUUUCUGCUAUAUGAUGAAAAAUAAAUAUAGCACUGUUAACAAGGAUUUUUCCCCCCUCUAAGAUCAUAGAGUACUUUUAAGCAAAAGUUAAUUAUGACUGCAGCAUAACAUCACCACCCAAGGCAAUAUACUUCUUGUGAUCAGAGUAAAUAUCCAGAGCACACAAAGUAAUUUAAAAUGCAAAUAGUAUGAUCAUUAAGUGGUAGUUAUGCAUCAGUAGCGAGGGCAUUGUGGGAGUAAUUUAGAAAACUAAGUUAAAUGAUUUCUCUUACAAGACACAUCUUCUAUUUACCUAGUAUUUUUCUUGGAGAAGUUCGAAUAUUUUAGACCUAACAAAAAUCAUCACAAAGUAUCCUCUGGGUGAAAACGUGUAUGAAUGCCUCUCAUUUUAUGGAGUAAGAAAACUGGUCCCAGCUUCAGGUCACUGACUGAGUCAAAAAAUCCUUCAGUAUAACAGAGCAACCUCUAGGCUCUUCUCCACAGGCUACCCUUGCAUUUGUAAAUUCUACUGAGACAUAAGUUUAAAUUCUUCCACAAAGCAGAUCUCAGAGAGGUUCCAUUCUUUCUAUUUUAAUAGACUACUGAUAGCUUUACAGUGAGACACCAGCUCUCUCCUUGGUGUAACUCACCAACAGUAAGGAAGAAGGGUCUUUGCAAGCCUGGCGUAUGGCUACUUUGAGAGGCAAUCCCUCUGUUAGUUUAUUAUAGAAAAGAGAGGUUCAACUUCUGGUAAUGGCAGUCACCUGUAUCGGACUUUUUAUGGAUCUUCCAUAGACGAUUAUACAUUCUAGAAAAAAAGCAUUAAAAUCAAUUAUUUGGAGCCACCAGAGAGUGACCAAAUUGAGCAUAGGUGAUCGAUGUUUUGAAGGAAAGGAAAUGUGUUGGGAAAGAUUUCAGUUUACACUUUCUACUUCAGAGGACUCCCCGAUCUUAAGUGGAUGAACAAAGUCAGUCAGAAAGCUGCAUUCAUACUGAAUGGGAUCUAAGGGCAGAAAUCACGGGUGGCAAAGUGCUUGAAAGUUAGUGUGAGUGUGUGUGUGAGAGAGAGAGAUCAGGGAAAAGACAGAAAAGAGGAAAACACAGAGAAGGUAAACCUCAAACUUUCAUAUAAACAAGUAACUAAAUUGUGUACACGUGGAAGAGAGUGAAAUCCCAACCGCGAUCAAAAGCAAGUCGAAUAACCUGAGCAGCAAUCUUAGCUGCUGCCCAAAAAAGGGGAAAUAAAGGUUGGAGUUUGAGUGCAAACAUGUGAACUGCCUGCUACAAUACAAAUAAACACUCUUAAAAGGAAGAAAACAGAAUUCAGUCUCUGUAAUAUAUUAGCUACAGUAUUCAGUAUAUGAUAAAAAUUUUUAGAUACACAAAUAGGCAAAAGUGACCCAAAUCAGAAAAGAAAUAUAUUGUUAGUGGAAAUAGACCCCAAGAUGAGACAAAGGUUGGAAUAUGAAGAAAGUUACUCUGUAGCUGCUAAAAUAUGUUCAGAGCAUUAAAAAAUAUUAUCAUAAUGAUAGAACAUGAUGGGAAUCUCAGCAGAGAACUUAAAACUAAAAAUAUAGAAAUUUUAUUUUUUUUUAUUUAUUUUUUUAUUUUCCCACUGUACAGCAAGGGGGUCAGGUUAUCCUUACAUGUAUACAUUACAAUUACAUUUUUCCCCCACCCUUUGUUUUGUUGCAACAUGAGUAUCUAGACAUAGUUCUCAAUGCUGCUCAGCAGGAUCUCCUUGUAAAUCUAUUCUAAGUUGUGUCUGAUAAGCCCAAAAACUAAAAAUUAUAGUGACUGAAAUGAAAAAUAAACUAGAUAG
rnacentral:lncRNA from 1 species